rnacentral:rRNA from 1 species
AGUGAACGCUGGCGGCGUGCUUAAGACAUGCAAGCCGAACGGCAGUCUUCGGACUGUAGUGGCGCACGGGUGAGUAACGCGUAACUGACCUACCCCAAAGUCGCGGAUAACGAUUCGAAAGAAUCGCUAAUACGUGAUGUGCUGUCAGAUUGUGUUCUGCCAGUAAAGAUUGAUUGCUUUGGGAUGGGGUUGCGUUCCAUCAGCUAGUUGGUGGGGUAAAGGCCCACCAAGGCGACGACGGAUAGCCGGCCUGAGAGGGUGGCCGGCCACAGGGGCACUGAGACACGGGUCCCACUCCUACGGGAGGCAGCAGUUAGGAAUCUUCCACAAUGGGCGAAAGCCUGAUGGAGCGACGCCGCGUGAGGGAUGAAGGUCUUCGGAUCGUAAACCUCUGAAUCAGGGACGAAAGACACUUCGGUGGGGUGACGGUACCUGAGUAAUAGCACCGGCUAACUCCGUGCCAGCAGCCGCCGUAACAC